rnacentral:rRNA from 1 species
CCUACGGGUGGCAGCAGUGGGGGAUAUUGCACAAUGGGGGGAACCCUGAUGCAGCGACGCCGCGUGGGUGAAGGAGUGCUUCGGCAUGUAAAGCCCUAUCGGCAGGGAAGAAGCAAGACGGUACCUGACUAAGAAGCCCCGGCUAACUACGUGCCAGCAGCCGCGGUAAUACGUAGGGGGCGAGCGUUAUCCGGAUUCACUGGGUGUAAAGGGAGCGUAGACGGCCAUGCAAGCCAGGGGGGAAAGCCCGGGGCCCAACCCCGGGACUGCCCUUGGAACUGCAUGGCUGGAGUGCGGGAGGGGCAGGCGGAAUUCCUGGGGUAGCGGUGAAAUGCGUAGAUAUCAGGAGGAACACCGGCGGCGAAGGCGGCCUGCUGGACCGCGACUGACACUGAGGCUCGAAAGCGUGGGGAGCAAACAGGAUUAGAUACCCUUGUAGUC